rnacentral:rRNA from 1 species
UCGCGAAUCUUCCACAAUGGACGAAAGUCUGAUGGAGCGACGCCGCGUGCGGGAUGAAGGCCUUCGGGUUGUAAACCGCUGUCGAGGGGAAUCAAAUUUUGAGUGAUCCCUGGAGGAAGCACCGGCUAAACUCGUGCCAGCAGCCGCGGUAAUACGAGUGGUGCAAACGUUGUUCGGAAUUACUGGGCUUAAAGGGUGCGUAGGCGGCCAUGUAGGUCUGAUGUGAAAUACCACGGCUCAACCGUGGAACUGCGUUGGAUACCGCAUGGCUGGAGUGAGACAGAGGUAAGCGGAACUGAUGGUGGAGCGGUGAAAUGCGUUGAUAUCAUCAGGAACACCGGUGGCGAAAGCGGCUUACUGGGUCUUUACUGACGCUGAUGCACGAAAGCUAGGGGAGCAA